rnacentral:lncRNA from 1 species
CAAAUGUAGUAGACAAGAUAAUUCUAUCCCUGUAGUAUAUUAAAUACUAAUGCAAUUAACGACAUCAACAUUAUGAGAUGAGUGUUAUGAAUGGCCAAGACUCAUGAGAAGUAAAAGAGGAGAAUCACUUCACUGGAGACCUGGCACCAGAAGACAGAACCCAUGAUAGGUCAGGGCUCAAGAUUGUUCUGAUUUGCAAUAUCAGAUGCCUGGAGACCUCUUCAGUGUCCAUCUACAAAACCUUUUGGGAAGAGUGGAAGGAACAUUCAGCAGACAGCAGUCACUGUAGAAGCCAAAUUCACCUCAGAAAGAGGGCAAGACAAGAUUUGCACAGAAAGAGGAUGCCAGGCAGGAUUAUAUCCAUUACCUAAUGAGUGCCUAAUGCCCAGGGUAGAGAGAGCCUGCACUUUCAUCUGACCUGAGAACAGC